rfam:Ovis aries breed Texel chromosome 9, whole genome shotgun sequence.
UUCCCUGGCAGUCCAGUGGAGAGGACUUGGCACUUUCACUGCUGAGGGCCUGGGUUCAAUCCCUGGUGGGGAAU